GACCUCAAAUCAGGCAAGAAUACCCGCUGAACU
rnacentral:rRNA from 1 species